CCUACGUGUGGCAGCAGUGAGGAAUAUUGGUCAAUGGGCGCGAGCCUGAACCAGCCAAGUAGCGUGAAGGAUGACUGCCCUACGGGUUGUAAACUUCUUUUAUCAAGGAAUAAAGUGAGGCACGUGUGCCUUUUUGUAUGUACUUUAUGAAUAAGCAUCGGCUAACUCCGUGCCAGCAGCCGCGGUAAUACGGAGGAUCCGAGCGUUAUCCGGAUUUAUUGGGUUUAAAGGGUGCGUAGAUGGGUUGUUAAGUCAGUUGUUAAAGUUUGCGGCUCAACCGUAAAAUUGCAAUUGAUACUGGCAGCCUUGAGGACAGUUGAGGUAGGCGGAAUUCGUGGUGUAGCGGUGAAAUGCUUAGAUAUCACGAAGAACUCCGAUUGCGAAGGCAGCAUACUAAACGGCCACUGACAUUGAUGCUCGAAAGUGUGGGUAUCAAACAGGAUUAGAUACCCCUGUAGUC
rnacentral:rRNA from 1 species